UAGUAGAAAAGCUGCACAUCCUCUGAUUCAUCAACUCCUAUAUACCUGGUUGUACAAUCUCAAAACUACUUCAAUCUUUCCCAAGUUAAUGCACCAGAAAUUAACUUACUGUUACAAAAAUAUUGAGUUACCCACCCGGUUUCGAGUUCAAAUGGCAGAGGUCCUUCGAAUCCUGGGAGAAACUUAACAGGGGAACCAGCCGAAGCAAGGUUUGAACAUAAUUGCACAAGAACUAGCGGCAAAAUCAGGUAGCUGAAGAGAGAGGAUCGAAUGAGAAUGCGCAGCUUCCCAGUUGAGCAGCUUGGCCUAACAUGUUCUGUCAUCUCUUUACUUGGCGGAGUAACUGUAGUUUUCCAACUCCAACAAUGGAUAUGCUUACAAUUCUGCUGAUGCCCGGCACUGACGCUCACUCUGGCUGUUUCUUCUCACAUCUUCUUUCCAUAAUAAAUAGAUUAAAAACUGUGGCUCCUCCAGAGUCCAAACGUGCCUAUUCAAUUACCUAGGUAGGAGGAAGUACGAGGUGCUCUUCUCUUCUUCUUUUUUUUUUUUUUUCCCAGUGAAUAAGACAGGUAAAUUAGCUUGGACGCUUCUCGUCGGCGGACCUUGAGAAAAACGUGUCCCAGUCCCUAACGUGACCUCACUGCUUAGGUUGCUUGACAAUUGACAUUGUACUUUGACAGCAUGCAAUUGAGUUUAAACGUCGUUUUUAGCCAUUGAAGAAGCAAUGAACUUGCCCGGACCGAGCUGACCUGACGAGCUCGGCGUGCUGAUGAGAAGAGCGUGUCACAAACCUGCAAAGUGAACAAGAGAAUGAUCUCGCAGGGGAGCCCCGAGGUCGUCCCCGAGGGCACUCCGACGAUCAAAUUAGUUUUCCGAUGAAUGAGGUUCACGGGAAGUAAAAUGGUCCAGAGUAAUUGGCGAAUAGUGAGCGUACCUUGUGCAGUGGAUGUGCGUUACCAUUUAUACCUGCUUGUGAGUCCGACUUCCGUACGUUUCGGGACCUGUCACGAAUAGUCUCAAUCCCGCGCCGAGGGGAUUCUCCCCGCCCUCUGCGGGAUCGCUUCCCAGGGCUUCUCGGGGCCUGGGGUAUGUUUGUGGGCGAGCGGGGGGGCUGGUGGGAAUUACAGGGGCCGGGGGAGCUCGGCUAAGGAUUUACCAUCCGGAUGACAAGGACGAUAAAGUAUCGAUAAGUCUAAGACCACACAUUCGCCAGAAACUAGAAAAAGCGGUAGAAACUAGCCGACACAAUUGAUUCAUGUACGAUGCGAACGUGGCAUUUACACACCCGGGUGCUGUGUCAGGGACCCAAAAUAGUGGAGUAAUAAAAGACAGCUAUUUGGGGUUGGUAAACUUCAUUUGGUCCUUUGAACUCCAAAAUUUUAAUUCAGUCAGUCAAAUUGGAAAAGUUCAAUUUGGUCCUUUGAAAUACUCUAGUACUAUUUAGAUUGCUUAAUAGGAAUUUGGAUUUGUAAUACAUUAAUUAUUAAAAUAUAUUUUAAAUAUUAGAAUAAUUAGUAGCUUACAAAUGUAAAUACUUCCUAAAUAAUUUUAACUACUAGAUAGAUUUGAGAAGAUGUCAAAUCAUUUGUCAAAUCCCUUAAUUCAAACGAGUAUCAAUUUGGUCCCUAACAUAAAAUCUCAAUUUGAAGCAUGGAACUAAAUAAUUCAGGUUAGUCUCAUAGAAGUGAGAAAUUUUUUUAAUUUGGUCUUUUAAAUCUAUUAUGUUAAAAAAUAUGGGUAAAUAUGUCUUGUACUGACUAUAUAUACAAACUAUUGGGUCUAGAUACAUAUCGUGCAUAUAAAAUGUGAAACUCAAAUUCAAGUUAUGAUGCUCUAAUAUAUUUUGUCAGUGUAGCAAUUCAUCUGAAAAAUAUUAUAUCAUUAAAUUAUAGACAAAUGUUAUGUUUGUCAUCUUAUGAAACAUGUGCUCGCCUUAGUGAUUUACAUAAUAAAAAUGUAUUAGUUUACUCAUAGAGAAUCAAGUUAUGACGCUACAUUAUUUAACUAAUUCAAAAUUCCAAAAUAUUUUGAGAUAAAAUUAGAAGAAAGAGUCAAGAGAGCACAAUUUUUUCGUCGAAAAAUAAAGGUCGGUUUGCUUAUUUUUCUUACUGAAAAAUAAGGACUAAAAGUAAAAUUUAUUGUUUAAAAUUAAUAGGCAUACAACCUCCCAUUGAUUAACAUCUAUCUAAAAAUUUUGUCAUAUAAACAAAAGAGUAAAUUAUGUCAUUUAUAAUGCUAUUUGAAACAAAAAAUGGAAAUAAAGUGUUACUUAAAAACAUUAAUGAACUAACUAAGAAUAUAUGGUUAAUUUACCAGUUGGGAUGUCUGUACUAGUUGAGUACUAAUUUUAUUAAAUUCAGUAUUAUUUAGUUUUUUUUUACAGUCAAAUAAAUUUAAAAAAGUUAAAAGUCUGUCGUGUUUGGUUAAAUCGAUUGAUCAAUAAAUCGAAAACUUAUUUAGUUCAUUUAUCGAUCUUGAUGCAAAAAUAUUGAGUUGAAGCGAAUUAGUAGUUCAAUUUUAUAUUUCUCAUCUCAUGGUUAUGCUUGUAUUAGAAACCUCUAAAACAUAUCAAAUCCUUUCCUUACUUUGUUAUAUUUUCUUUUUUAUUAUUGUUUCCUUUUGUUCUUCACAAAACUCCCUAAUCUCGGCCAAUUUAGUUUAGGUGCUGAAUUACUUUAAUUUUUCUUUGCCUUUACCUCCAAUUUUUACAAGUUUGUGCUCUCACUCAUAUAAACAAAACACUCCGUGAGAAUUUUUAUAAUAUUCCAAUUCAUUUUUUAACAUUUUUUAGUAUAAAUAGGAGGGAUCGAAUCCAAAACCUUUCACUUACACUCUCUUCUCCAAACCAAUUAGCUAUAAAUAUAUAUGUUGAACUAAUUGACAGACUCGUACACUUAAGUAACUAAAGUAGAUAUGAUUUUUAAAUGCUGCUAAAAUUUGAUUUUUAAAGAGAUGGAUAAAGGAAAAAAGGAAAUAAGUUGCGUGGAGACAAAAUGAAAAUUUAGUGGAGAGAAAAUGCAUUGGAAAAAAAAAAAGUAAAGCGGGUAGAAAUAAAAUGGAUAUGCAACAAAAAAGAAAAAGAAAUGGAAGAAUGAAAAAUGAGUCAAGAGUACAGAAUAUUUACUAUAGAUCAAGAAGAGUAUUUGAUCAAAAAACUUGAAACGAGGCCAAACUUGAAACGAGCGUUAUGAUAACGAAACUGUUUUGACCUGAUAUAACAGGUAAAAACACUUUUAGCGACCAUUUGAUUACCUGUUGUACUGGUCAUCUAAAUAAAAUAGUACCUAAAAAUAUGGUUAGUAAGUUUUACAUUAAAAAUAGUAAAUUAACUCAAGAAAUUAGUAACUUUUAUGUCUCAAAAAGUAAAUUUGAAGAAAUAUGGAACUUACUUUUUUUUUUUUAAGUAAAUAACUACUCUAUAUCUAAAACUUACUUUUUGGAGAGUAAGUUUAGUUCAAAUAAUAGUAAGUUUUUAUAGACUAAUAGUAAAUAUUGUUGAUAGAAUAGUAAAUUUGGUUAAUCAUCAAAACUUACUAGUUUAUGGCAUAAAUUUACUAUUUUACUUAAAGAAACUUAUAUGGAACAAGUAUUAGGAAGUUUAUUUGAAAUAAUGCUAAGAUUUUUUAUUAAUAAUUGAAACUUAAUAUUAUAGUUAGUAAUUACUCGUAAUGUAAAUGUAUGAUACACAAUUGUACGUAUCAUUUAUAAAUGUUAUAUGUUUUAAGCAUUUUAAAUAAACUAUGAAAACUUUUUUUUUGCAUAUGACCUUAUAAAAUAUGUAAGAAUAAUUUGUCAUAUUAUAAAUUUUGAAUUAUUUUUGAAUUUGUGAAAGGUUAAAAAGUUUGGAUGACAGUAAAAAAAAAUCUUUCGAGUUAUAUAUAGAAUUGCACUUAUCUAUACAUCACAAUUUCCAUAUAUGGACACCGAUGAAUAUAAUAAAAUGGUACGUAAUUUUCAUAUAUUAAUGCGUAUGAAUUUAAUAAAAUGGUAAAAUCUUAAUAAAUUUAUUUUCUGGGUCACAAGUAUAAAAAUUAAAGUUGUAUUAACAUAGCAUAAUCUUUGAAAAUUAUAGUAAAAUUACCCAUAUGUUAAGUUCUGUGACUUUCAAACAUACUUUGUGUCAUUUACAUUAUGGAUUUGUAUCCAUAUGUUUUCUAUCAAACUUUUUUUUUAUUGGCAAAUGGUAAGUAAAUUAUUAUAAAAGGGCAUUUUAUAAUAAUCAUAAUUUUUAAUAGAUGAAUUUUAUAUAAACUGUUAAAAUUAUGAAUUCACAAACGACUAAAUCUGACUACUUUAUGGCACAUAUUAGUCUAAAUGACUAAAAAAUUACUGUAAUAAUGUGCACGUUGAUUGUUGAAUUGAAAUUUCCUUUAUUACUAGUACAAGUUCUUCUAAUCAAAGCAAAAUAAAAUCAAAUAUCUUUUCCUUUUGUAUGUAGUAGUUAUGCUUAAUAGAAAAUAAUUAAACCAUUUUUAUAAUACAUAAUUUCUCCUAAAAUUUGUAACAUUAACAUGACCUCUAACCUUGACAUCGUUAUUUAAUUUACCUUCUAAAUUUAAUUUAAUUUUCUUAUAUUAAUUGUUAUACUAAUUUUAUCAUUUUUGUUAUUAUAUUAUUUCUCAUUUUGUUUAGGCUUUUACUCUUAUUAUUUCUUGUGUCUCAAAUGUAAAUUUAUUAAAACUUUAUCAUCUUAUUGUAUUCAUAGGUGUUAAUUUAUAAAAAUUUUGAUACAUAAACAAGUAAUAUUCUAUAUAUAACUAGGAAGAUUUGUUGUUAUUAUUAUCCAAACUUUCAAACUUUUCAAAAAUUGAAAAUAAUUAAAAACUUAUAAUAGGACAAAAUUUUAUUACAUAUUUUACGAGAUUAUGUGAAAAGUCAAACUUUUUUCCAUAGUAUUUUAAAAUAUGUAAAUAAAUUUUUUUUAAAUGAUAACUAUAAUCUUGUAUUAUACAGGUAUAUUAUGAGUAUUUACUAACUAAGGUACUAAAAAUUAAUCAUUAAUAAAACAUCUUAUCGUUAUUUCAAAUAAAUUCCCUAACACUAGUUUGAAAUAUGUUUUAAAGUAAAAUAGUACAUGUGUCUCAUAAAUCAGUAAGUUUUGAUUAUUAAUCAUUUUUACCAUGUUAUCAGUAAGAAUUACUAUUUAUGUAUUAAAACUUACUAUUACUUGAAUUAAACUUACACUAUAAAAAGUAAGUUUGGGAUAUAAAGUAGUAAUUUAUUUAUUUAGAAAGUAAGUUUAAUGUUUAUUCCAAUUUACAUUUUGAAGUAUAAAAGUUACUAAUUUAUUACUGUUAACUUACUAUUUUAGAUGAAAAACUUACUUUUUUAUUUUUAAGUAUUAUCCUAUUUAGGUGGAUAGGCCUAUCAAAUAAUCAAAUGGCCGCUAAAAGUAAAUAAAAAAUAAAUUAAAAAUGGUCAUAUAAGUGUUAUCCUAUUUAUGUUUCAAAAAGUAAAUCGAAAUAAAAAUGAAUGAAAGUUACUUUUUUUAAAAAUUAAAUUAUUACUCUACAUUCGAAACUUAGUUUUGUGGGGAGUAAGUUUAGUUCAAGUAAUAGUAAGUUUUUAUAGAUUAAUAGUAAAUCUUGUUGAAAGAAUAGUAAAUUUGGUUAAUCAUCAAAACUUACUAGUUUGUGGCAUAAAUUUACUAGUUUGUUGAUUUGAAAUUUGCACCAAAGUCACUAUUUCGUUAUUACUACCACAAGUUUUUUCUAAUCAAAGUAAAACAAAGUCAAAUAUCUUUUCCUUUUGUAUGCAGUAUUUAUGUUUAGUACAAAAUUAGUAAACCAUGAUUACAUUUCAUAAUUUGUAAUGAAAUUAGUAACAUUUUCUAAAUUAAUUGGAACAAUUUGUAAAAUAUAUUAUUUUUUUACCAAUAUAGUUAGGGGUGGCAAUCGGGUCCAAAUCGUAUUGGUGUGUCGGGUUGAGAUCGGGUAUAAUAGAAAACCCGCUGAUCCGAACUUAACCUGCCAACCCGAAAUGGGUCUAGUUAAAGGGAACAGUGAUCCAUCCACCUCUUUUCGGCGGGAUUGGAAAGUUGACCUGCUUGGUUCUUCUGUGUCCAUGGAUGCAGGAAUUAACUGUUAAUAUGAGGCAGGUGCCUAGCUAAAAGUUUGUCCCAUUAUUCCUAAUUGGCAGAUUGUCAUUAAAUAGAAAGGCAGAUUGUCGUUUAGGAGUAAAAACUUCUAAUGCUCGCAGAAAUAAAUAAGAGUACGUGCUCCUACAACAGAAUGUAUGUUACACCGCCAUUAAUGUGGUAAGGGCAUCCUCCUGAACUUAAAUCACAAUUAGAAACGAACCAUAUGCUUGGUUUCAAACUCAAAAACUCAUUUCGAAAGCUCCAGAGUUUCGAAAUUCUUGCUUUAUGGAUACAAGCAAAUCACAUAAACGCACAGGUACUUGGUUAACACAGCAAAAAACUCCACGGGAAAGUUCAUGUCGUGCUUAUUUCUUAGAAGGAAAUUGCAGACUAUUAGUAUAGUAUAGCAGUCACAACACUUCCACAACACAUCUUCAAGUUUUCUGAGAUCUAUCCAGUUUAAAGCCUAAAAACCGUGUGCUGAGUAUUGUAUAACAUGGAGUAUUUGAGUUGCUUUUCGAGUUCUGCUCAUCAAGUAAGCCAGUCCAAUUUGAAGUAAACAACAAAAUCUACAUGCACAAGACAUUUGAUAUGAAAUUGGUAUUUCAAAAUAGGAGAAAACAGCUCAUUUUGAGCAUCAGAAUGAAUCUACUCACCUAUUUAUUUAGUACUUGGAAUAAACAAAGGUCCAUCUAAUUCAAAUUGGCCAACAAGUCACUAGAAAAUAGGAUUUCACCUCCUUACAUUGAAAUGCAAUGCUGGAUUUAAAGUUUCCAUGCAACGUGUUCUUCCACCUAAGGCCUAUAAUAUCGGAAUUUCAGCCUAAUUAUAAUGAACCGCACUUGCAGCAACUAGAUUAAUCUGAAAGAAGCAACAGCUGGUAGAGAAUCAGAGCAUAUCAUCAUAAGGAAAAUCAAUCAUUUGAUGCUUGCAUCGGCUUAUGUCUCUAUUGCUUGUCCAGGUUCAUGCAUGUAGUUUGAAUGUUUAACCACUAACAAAAAUAGCAACCUGAGAUUUAAUAUCAUUUACUAGCUUUUAAUAAUUGAUACUUACGCAUCAAAAUUAAGCUAGCAGGACACUAGAUAUAGCUAUCUAAGCAUGACAAGAUUACAUGGCCAAGAACUGAAUUUAGAGCACAAAGACUUUGGCUUCAGAAAUCUGAAGCAAUCAAAAGGCUAGUAACUUGAUUUGAGAAUUUGAUCACCAGCAUCAAGGGCUCUGAUAUCACUAUCAAAAGCUUCAGUUUGGAUUGAAAUUUCUGGUUUACAAACCCAAGAGCACUUGGAUGCUAACAAUAUCUGAAAUUUAAUCACCAAACUUUUUUCCAAGCAAGCUGAAAUUAUUCACAUUAAAACAAGUAAACACCAGAAAUUACAAACUAAGGAGAUUAUGUUCAGAUUUACAAUCAAAACGCAUUAAACUAUCUUCGAAGAAACUAAAAUCAUCCUAAAAGCUUUGAGCAAAGACGUGAAAAAACAUUUGUACUCUCUCAAGAAUAAAAUUCCUUAAUGGUCUUGGCUGAAAUCUGGUUCAUUCACUACAAAACCAUCACAAGAUUUGUAUUAAAAAAAAAGCCACAACAACACAUAAUCAUAGCAAAUAAAUAACAUAAAACUUAGGCGUGAAGAAGGAAAAAUGUACCUGAAUACUUUUCGUCUCCUAACAAGCUAGUGUUUUGUACAUGACUUUGGAUUAAUGAAGGAUUGCAUGCCCACAUUAAUGCCUAUACAAAUGCAAAUAGAGCACCAUUAUAUUUCAUGCCUUCACACAAAAAUAAAUAAAAGCAAGCUAUACAUUACCUGACCAGGAGGAAUGAUCUGAAACCAAUUACUAUCCAUUAAUUCCUUAUUGCUUCCAUGCUGUGAAUCUGAUUGCAAUAGGCCAUCGGAUGAUCCUAUCAGAUUCAAAUUUACAUUCUCAACAUGAUUGGGUGCCCCAACAUGAUCAUAAUUGUGAGUUUCAUAUGCAUCUGUGCACACCUUAGUACUUUUUCGUCUAUCAUGUCCAAAUGACCUGCGGGAAAAAAAUUGCCAAGCACAAUCCAUAAACAAAAAGAUUGAAUUUAUUCAUAUACUCCUUUAGUAUUUGAAAUAUCAUCUCCCUUUUAGUGAUCCCUCUUAUUUUUGAAAUCUUAACUGCUUACAUUUGGAAACUGUUCUAUGAAUUUUCUCUCCUUUCCUGACUGAAGAAGAGGGAAGAUGUGAUUCUACAAAAUCUACAUGUAUCAUAGGAUGGUAAUAAGAAUUGCUUCUGCAACACAGAUUUACAAGAGUAAUAAUGGCCAAAUUUCCGUGGCAUUGUAGACGUUACAAUGGAGUAAAAAAUUCAAGAGGCUGAUAAUAAAUUUCCAUAGAUGGCCAAAUUUCCGUGGCAUUGCAGACGUUAACAUGGAGUAAAAAAUUCAAGAGGCUGAUAAUAAAUUUCCAUAGAAACAACAUAUUCACAACAAUGAUUCUAGAUCAGUUCAGUUCAAUAACAUUUGCUCCAUCAAGCGUAUCAACUUAGAAUUCCAAAACGGGAGAAAUCUCUCUUGCCUGAAGAAUUCAAGUUAUAAAGCUCAUGUUGAGUUACUAAUACAUUAGUAAUUCUCACCCGCACAAAGUAGCAAUCACAACAUACAAAUUUCUCUUUGACAUUUCACCAAACAUCUUACAUGCAUUCACAAAUUAAUCACAUUUAACUUAAACGCCUGGUCUCAAGUCCUUUUCUAGAUGUUUCACAUGGCUAUUAAGCAUAUUUUACCCGUAGACAAUCAAAACUACAACCAUUUCCUCGAUGUUUCAACGGACAUUUUCGGCCCCAAAAUUGCAAUAAAAUCUUCAAAUUCUCAGCCUUGAUUUCCCAAGAAAAUCUUGACAAACAAAACAAAUGAAAUAUAAAUAAAUUACAGCAAUAUAAUCAAACGAUUUCAAGAGAACAUGAUGAUCUAACUUCGUCACUGCUAUUUUUCAUAUGCUCUUUGGCUGGCUACCACCGUCGCUAACCCUUUUGUUGUGUCUGCAUAUGGCAGCACUCAAACCCAACCGAACAAUGAGAAAGGAUAGAGGGAAAGUGUGAACUAAAGAUGAAAAUUUUGAAGUGAGAAGAUUUAUUCAAUUGUAACAAAGAGAAAGUGUGGACCAAAGUGAAAACCAUUGCCUAGGAAUUCAAUCGUAUCAUUGGAACUGAGAACUGAAUAAGAAGAAGGUAGAUGACUUUAAAGAGAAAGGUGAUACCCAAAACCGUUUUCAGGAACCCAAACCGUUUUUUUUACUUAAAUAUGUACAUUUUUUACUUUUAGUAUUAGUAAGUUUAAUUUAAACAUAAGUAAAUUUUGUCAAAUAAUAAGUAAAUUAAAUUACUCAAGGUCUAAAUUUCUGUUUCUGACUAAAACUUAUCUUUCAGGCAUAUACUUACUAGUUUUAAUUAAAAACUUACUAAAGUUAAUAUUAAUUAUUUUACUAUAAUAUUUUAAAAGUCGCUAAAAGAUUUGAUCUGUCACUAAAGGUAAUAGAAACCUAUAAUAGCAGGUUUCCCUAAUAUCGUUACCAUAACUAUAGGCACUGUAGCACUGUCCAUAAAAUUCCUGCAGAAAAAAGAAACCCUACAACUACAACUAGCCUUUUGCCCUUUCAUUUUAAAGUUACGGUUGCCACAUAAAUUAAAUUCUUAUUCUCUCUCUCUCUUAUUUUUUUCUCCUACUUUCUUUCUCAUGCAUCUUACACAACUAUCUAAUACAUCUCGAAUUCUCAUUAUUAUGAAAAUAAUUCCUAUCUUUUUUUUCUUUUUUUUUGUAAGUAUUAUUGAAUUGAAAUUGCCAAAUGUCAAGUUAUCGGAUCAAAUUUGUUGUCAAACUAAAUGAAGGUGAAAAGUAUGGUAGUGAUAUAGAGCAUAGACAAGAAAAUAAAAGUGAUAGUUAAAAUGGAAACCUAGAUUGAGAAAGGUUAUGUUAUUAUGCCAAUUAUGUAAAAAAAAAAUUUUGGGAUAAAAAUUGCAAUCCGAUUUACCUAGAGACAUGGGAUAUGGUCUCUAGUAUUGCUUUUAGUUGCUCCGUAUUGGUAUUUUUGGUGGGUUAGAUUAUUUUAGCAUCAACAUGGUUGCAGCCAUUUAGAUUGAGUUUAGAUAGUGAUAUUGGUCAACUUAAACAUUAAAUUUAGACAAAAAAAAUUGAGGCUAAAGAUUAGGUUGAAUACAAAUUUUAAUUGUCACAGUUGAUUUGCAUGGGAAGCUUUGGAGCAGCAAUGGUAGGUUUGUCAAAAUUGUGAGAAUGUGGGGAUUAAGUUAGUGUGUUUUCUCCCUUCUAAGUAACAAAGAGGUAUUUUAGAAUUUUGAAGAACAAAUUUAGCAGAUUGAGUCUAUAUUGUUACUGAAAUACUAAUCAUAAGGGAGGUAGGUGUAAUUUUUUAAACUAGAGAGGAGUUUUCUGCAAUAAUCAAAAACUUCAUGGGAGGUUUCUAAAAUUAUCCCUAAAUAGUAUUAAAAACAGUGGCUUCUUCAAAGUCCAAAUGUGCCUAUCCUAGGGGUGCAAACGAGUUGAAUCGAGUCGAUUUUCACCCUAAUUGAGCUAAAUCUCAACAUAAUUUUACGAAAUUCGAAAUCGAGCUCGAACUCGACAGUUCAAAGUAUCAAAUUUGAGCUCAAUAAUUAUUAUUUUAUUUUUUAAAAAUGAAUGAAAUAAUAAUUUUUUAAUAAAUAAUGAAAUAUUAGGGAUAUAUAUGUCAUUUUACUAUUAAAAUAAAAAAUAUAUAUAUAAAUAUAAUCGAAUUCGAACCGACUCACGAGCUAACGAAUUUAGUAUUUUUGAAUUCAAUUCGAAUUCGAGUUUGAUUUGGUCAACUCAAACUCGAUUAGAACUCAUGUUACCGAACUCGUAUUCGAACCGCUAGCGAUUAGUUCACAAACGAUUCGAUUCGUUUGCAACUCUAACUUGUACAAUUACCUACUUAGCAGUGAUUCCUCUAGAAUCCAAAUGUGCCUCCCUACAAUGUGCUCGUCUUCCCUUUUUUACCUGUGAAAUAAGACAGGUAAAUUAGCUUGGAUGCUUCUCGUUGGCGGACCUUUAGAAAAACGGAUCCCAAUUCCUAACAUGACCUCACUGCUUAGAUUGCUUGACGAUUGACAUGGUACUUUUGGGAGCCUGCAAUUGAUCUUAAACGUAGUUUGGCCUUCAUUUGCCACGCUAAACAAAGAUGUGUUAAAAGUCAACAUUUUUAUAAUACACUAUUGUCAUUUGUCAUUUCUUGCCUUUAUUGUUGCAAAUGUCACAUCUUAUUCACGCCAGUCCUUGCAUAACCGCACGUGGGAAAACAAGAAUAAAUCCAACAGAAAGAGUUUCUGUGAAGUUAUAUCUCAAGCCAAUAGUAAUUAACAGAAUGUAUUAUAUUUGAACGAACCCAGCAACUCGGCCUUGAAGCAUCCAUGGUCUCCAAUCAUCAACAAUUGAGUAAUUUACACAUCUUAUCCACGCUUGAGUUGCGAGGUACGGUGCAAGCAUGCCAUGGUCACCACUGAAUUGCAAGAUAUUGUACUUUCAAUACAUAUAAUUGCCUUGAAUACGUAUAAAGAUUAAGAUUACUAAUGUUGUGUAUGGCAAGCCAUAGUUGCACCAGAUCCAAUCUUAAAUACUCCCGUCAUGAAAUUUAGACAAAAUACAAAGGAACACAUAAAAAUAAGUUGCAUAUACAAAGGCACGCACCAAAAAGUAUCAUCGUUUUACAUUAGUUGUUUUUGAAAGUAUUUUUAAAAUAUUUUAUUAUAACAAAAUAUAUAAAAAGUUUUUAUUGUAGAUAUUUUUUGUAGCGUUUUUGGAGAGAUUUUUUUUUAAAAUACAUUCGAAUAACUUUUAAAAUUAAAUAAAAUAAAUUACUUUUAAAAAUUAAUACUACCACUCACAACAACCACCACUCCUACUCACCAUAACCAUCACCCCCUCCCUCCUUUCUUCUCCCCUUUCCUCUUCUUCCUCCUCUUCCCUCUUCCUCCUUCCUAGGAAGAGGGAAGAGGAGGAAGAAGUGGAGAAGGGAGAGGGAGGAGAAAGAAAAAGGGAGGGGAUGGUGGUGGUGGAUGGUAAUUGCUAUCGAUUUUUGAAGUUCAGGGUAUCACAUAAUAUGGAAUUAGGUAAAACUGUAAAGUCUUGGGCCCUAAAAUCUGACCAUUUAUUUAUAAAGGACAAAGCAGCUGCUCUAUGCCAACGUUCUUUCGGAACAUAUAAAUGCUAAACAACCCUCUUGGCAGUUGAUCAUAUAAAUUGCAUGAUCCCCAGUUCCAACUUUCAAGCCGUAACCGAGUACAAGCAAUAUUUAGCUGAAUAAAGCAGUGUGUUAAUCAACGUAUAUCAUCAGCACAAUCUGGAAAUUCUUUACAUAGAUAAGACGUGUUUCAUAUAUCCACGCCUUGUUAAUUAAUCUAUAAAGGAAUUGCAGGGGCUGGCUUAGCUUAGAACUCCAACCUCGCGCGACCUCACCUCUUGCUGACUCGAGCUUCGACUACAUUUUACUUGUGUUCUUUUUUCAGACUAUUUUGAUAAGAAAGCAGCCCCUUGAAAAUAAACAUAACUUAGACAGCGAAUUUUGGGAUGCAAGUUGCAGCCGUACUUAGGACUGGAGUUUUUGCUUAUAGAGGCUGAUAAGAUAUCCACCUUUCAAACAUUGCUUGACAUUCAGCAGGCCUGUACUCAGGAGCAGUAUGGCCUCCUCCCUGGUGAAAAUUCAGUAUGAUUGGUUCAGGUAUUUUCUCAAUUUUUACUGUUAAAUUGUGCAUUGAAGCAAAGGAAGAUGAGAAUUUCUUGCCUUUACUGUUGCAAACGUCAUCUUAUUUGCAUAGGCCCUCGUAUAACUGCACUUCAAGAAAAAUAAAUCCAUGUGAGUUGUUUCUAUUGCAGAUUUAUCUCCAAUUAGUAAAAGAUCCAUUUUGUGAACGAACCCGGCAACUUGGCCCUGUAGAAUCCAUUGGCGCCAAUCAUCUAUUAUGGAAUAAUUAAGAGAUUUUAUCCAUGCUUGAGUUCCAAAAUGUGGCACAACCAUAUCAUGGUCACCACUGAACCACAAAUUUUUACUUUCAUCAAAGACUUAAUAACAAUUAACAGAAUUGAGAGUUUACUCAAUGAUUGCACUACGUGCUAACACUUGAACUUGUGAAGCAUAGGUAUCAAACCUGUAUAUGAGCGAUCUGUAGCCUCUAAUGCUGAGGUUUGCAUGGUAUGGCAAACUAGUUCCUAUAUUCCUUAUGUACGGGUAGCGACAGUUGCAUCUUAUCCAUUCUCCAAUACUCCCCUGCCAUGUGAUUUCACAAAAUUACAUACACAGAGACAAGCAAACACAACACGCAUAUUUAGCUGCUUGUUUUCUGUUGACAUACCUUCCGGACAUGGAGGGCCUCUUGGACACUCUCGUCAUUAGCCCAAUGAUAAGCAAGUCUAUAUCCAUCCAUCUAAAACAAGCAUAGAAACAAAUCCAUAAUUGCUGCGAGAACUCAAAUUAACCACAAGAGUUGCUGCAAAUAAUCACAAUGUGUUUAUGCAGAAGUUCAUGAAGAUAUUACUAUCUUACACGACACGUAAAUGGUGCAGUAAGUUCCUGAAUUUUCAGCUCUCGAGUCUUCUUACAGAACACUUGAAUGGUCGAUCUCCUGCCAAUGAAUAAAUUGUUUGGCUUUGGGGAAGCAUAAGGACAGUCAGGCUCCAGAAUAUGUGCUGUGUCAAUGUUAGUAAGUAACUGCACAAACGCAUUGAUUACAUUAAUUUUGAAAUUGAAGACAAGUUUUUUAGUUAUCCCCUUUUCUUGGAGAGGGGGAGGGGUUUGGGAAGUUGAGUAUAUGGACUUGGAUAGUGACUAAUUUCUCAAAAUAGAGAAGCACAAAACUUGCAGAAAAGUGGUUGCUUGCCUGAUUGUAUGCCUGCAUAUUUUGUAAGCAGAGGGCAUUGCUGGGAUCUAUAUUUUGAUAUUCUCCUUUACAGGAAAGCUUCAAGGACUGUACAACAGUUAUCUUGGCCCAUUAGAAAACUAUGGAAAUUAUUUAGUACUGAGUACGUAAGAAAGUUCUAAAAGACCUCAGGUAUUCAAAGAAUAAACAACCUCAUAGAGCUCAUCAGAAAUUAGCCCCAUCCCAUGAGCAAAUUGGAUUGCAUAGUUUCCAUCCCCUGGAGUGGUGGUAGGAUUUCCUAGUAAGUAUCCCUGAAGCCAUUUGAGGGUUGUGACAAGUUAGCAGUGAAGCAUAAAUAACAAAAUAUGAGUAUAGUGUUGAUAAUGGUUGAAAGUUGCGGUUGUGGUCCGGACCGUUCCACAUCGGUCUCGGCGAGACGCAAAUUUUUGAAAUAUUUAAUAUUCUAAAAAUUGUAAAAAAAUAUGAUAAACAAAAAUAAUUAAAAAAUUAGCAAAAAUAAUAAAAAAUCAAGUUGACUCGAGACUACUCGGCCGUUUCUAUCCGUCUCAGAGACGUCUCAACCGAGUUCUUGGUGAUCCAUUAUCUCGGAUUCAUCUCGUCCCGGUAUUGGAAUGGAAAGCCCCGUUCCGGUGACGACUCGGCCGAGCCUUUGAAACAUGGUGUUGAUACGCCAGAUUGGUAAAUGAAGCGCAUCUCUUAAACAAUGGUCAACCUCAUUAUGAGGAAAAUUUGUCCAGGAAAAUAGUUAUCUUGCUAUCCCUAGAUGAAAGAGAGAAGACUGUGAAAAAUACAAACCUUAAGAUCGAUAUGUGGCUCAAUACCGACCUCAUUUCCUGCAGAGACACCAGAACAGUAGUUUUAGAGCCAUUGAAUCCUUUGAGAGAAUUCUUCAACAUGAGCAAGUGCAAGGACAUUGAACAGUGCAACUCCAAAGAGUAAUGCUUCAAAGAUAAAUAAACUGUACGCAGAUUCUGGAGGCACUUUCUAUUUCUAUUUCUCUCAAAGCUCGGUCAUUAAAUUGCUAAACAUUGACUUCAAGUGUAAGCAGGCAGUAUGUCUACUAAAGAUGCCUGGGAUAUCUAAAAUUUCAAAAGCAUUUGCAAUACCUUCAAGUCUUUUACAAAGGCUAGUAAAUAACUGUUAUCAUCGGAAUGUACUAGAGCCUAAUCAAUAAGAGGUGCCUGCAUAAAGAACCAAAUUAAGGUCCUACCAUCUGAUAUAAUUUGAGUGACAAUUGGCACAGUAAUCCCCGAGUAUGAGUCUCCACCAAUAUAGACUGGACUGGAAAUGAACUCUGGAUGAUCAACCAGCCACUGUAAAGCAAUCAACAGUUGAGAGGCACUUAGCAAAGAUGAAUAUCAUUUAUCAUCACUCUUUUCAUGUUAAUGUCAUUGAGAAGUCUACGUGCUUCAAUACAUGGAUCAUUAAAGCUUAGGUCACCAGCAAGCUUUAUUUUAUGAUCUAAAUCAGUAAAGAUGUAACGAAUUCUCAAUCACCAAAAUAAUGGACGCGGUUGUUAACUUCUUUUACGGAUACUUAUGCAGUACAUAACGACAUAUAAACAGAGAAAAUUGAUAUACACAGUCACUUAAAGUAAAAGAUUUGCCUACGAAUAUGGCAUUUUCCUGAGUAGUAAUUAGAGGUGACAUCUAUAACUGGCAGUUUGGUCCAAAGGUACUGGAGUCUUGUCCAGGUCUACGUAGGCAGGGAUCAAAUCUCUGGUUCAGUGGCAUCAAGAUAAAAGUGGAAACUUUCUAGCUUUUGAUCAAUUGCACUCUCCAGUGUAAAAUGAUGACUAAUGAUCAUUUAAUGGUAGGAGAGUACCUUUCUAAGAAAUUCAUAGGCUUGGUUACAGGCUUGUAAAACUGUAGACUGAGAAGCUUUUGCAGUCCUUGCAUAAGAAAAACCACUUGCCACUGGCAAAUCGACAAAUAUUAUGCUUGCCACCUGAAAAGUAACGAUACAUUAUGGUCAGUCUAGCAUUCAACUAAACACCAGAAAAUCGAAACAUUAUCAAACACUAUCAGUAGUGAACUAGUGAUAGAUCAGUAAUCUACUGUACAAUGAACUUUCUAUUUUUACUUCAGAGGAGUCUACCCUACCAGUAUAUCAUUGAUAUCUUUUGACCAACAAGGAAGAAAGACACUCGAGGAUGAGUUUACCUUAGUCCAAGAAUAGGGAUUUAACAGCAACUUGGGCAAAGUCCCAUGGUACAGCACUUGCUCGAAUUUUAUUGGCCCUGCAAAAUCACAGGUCAACGAGGAAUUGGUUGGGUUUUGGCGUGUUUCCGCUCCACUACAUACAUCAUUCAUACAGAGAGGAUUGGGUUUGAAACACUGAUGGGAAAAAGGGUGGAUAUUGAUGAAGCCAAAAUCUAUUGUCAGAAAAAUGGUUUCUUUUGCUCUUUUCCUGGACGUACGAUUGAAAACAAUCCUGAAUCCUUUGAAUAGGAUGUUUUACUGAGUCUUGCUUGUAUUCAUUAAUUAAAACAUGUAUACAAAUAUACGGGCCUCCCCAACUAGAUAUAUGUCUGGUGAAACAACCAAAAGGAAGAAGAAAAAAAUACAGGGGCCUAAUAUAGAAUCGCAAAGUACAUAAUUUAUGAAGCUAAGUUUCUGAACUGGCAAAAAGGGAUCUUUCAAGAUUUCAAGCUUGUGCAAAAGUCAAAGAUGAAAGGGUAUGGUGGAAUUAUGAAGAAAUCAGGAAAAGGGAUUACGUAUCAUCCAUGCUCUUAAUUCACACUCCAUACUUAUUAUCGGCGUGCACUAAAUCUACCUAUCUCAUAAGCAAGCCCAGAGAAUGAGGUGCAGCAAUUGCCUCCAGUCAACCAGAGCACAAGAGGGUCUGUUUCAGGACUGGACUCUGACUUGACAAAGUAGUAGAAAAGCUGCACAUCCUCUGAUUCAUCAACUCCUAUAUACCUGGUUGUACAAUCUCAAAACAACUUCAAUCUUUCCCAAGUUUAAAUCCACAUUAAUGCACCAGAAAUUAACUUACUGUUACAAAAAUAUUGAGUUACCCACCCGGUUUCGAGUUCAAAUGGCAGAGGUCCUUCGAAUCCUGGGAGAAACUUAACAGGGGAACCAGCCGAAGCAAGGUUUGAACAUAAUUGCACAAGAACUAGCGGCAAAAUCAGGUAGCUGAAGAGAGAGGAUCGAAUGAGAAUGCGUAGCUUCCCAGUUGAGCAGCUUGGCCUAACAUGUUCUGUCAUCUCUUUACUUGGCGGAGUAACUACUGUGUUUUCCAACUCCAAUAAUGGAUAUGCUUACAAUUCUGCUGAUGCCCGGCACUGACGCUCACUCUGGCUGUUUCUUCUCACAUCUUCUUUCCAUAAUAAAUAGAUUAAAAACUGGCUCCUCCAGAGUCCAAACGUGCCUAUU
rnacentral:lncRNA from 1 species